rnacentral:rRNA from 1 species
AUUGAACGCUGGCGGCAGGCUUAACACAUGCAAGUCGAGCGGGGUGAUGGUGCUUGCACUAUCACUUAGCGGCGGACGGGUGAGUAAUGCUUAGGAAUCUGCCUAUUAGUGGGGGACAACAUCUCGAAAGGGAUGCUAAUACCGCAUACGUCCUACGGGAGAAAGCAGGGGAUCACUUGUGACCUUGCGCUAAUAGAUGAGCCUAAGUCGGAUUAGCUAGUUGGUGGGGUAAAGGCCUACCAAGGCGACGAUCUGUAGCGGGUCUGAGAGGAUGAUCCGCCACACGGGGACUGAGGCACGGCCGAGACUCCUACGGGAGGCAGCAGUGGGGAAUAUUGGACAAUGGGGGGAGCCCUGAUCCAGCCAUGCCGCGUGUGUGAAGAAGGCCUUAUGGUUGUAAAGCACUUUAAGCGAGGAGGAGGCUCUUUUGGUUAAUACCCAAGAUGAGUGGACGUUACUCGCAGAAUAAGCACCGGCUAACUCUGUGCCAGCAGCCGCGGUAA